rnacentral:ncRNA from 1 species
GGGGCGAAGCCGGGGUGCCCCGCAGGAGGGGCUGAGAACACACCCGUAGUCACCUGAUCUAGGUCGUUCUAGCGAAGGGAGCAAUCCAUGACCGGUA